GAAAGACAAGAAGAACGUGAGAAAGAGAAAAAGGAAGGAAGAAAGAACAAAAGCCAUAGAAAAGGUUUUGCUUUACACAAUUGGUGUUACCUGGACAAGCACUGAUGAUAGGAAAAUAACGGGAGUUUCGAUUUGCUCUUUUGGCUCUUGGCUGUUGUGAAGAGUCGUCAAGCCGAAUUUCCAGUGUUGGCUUUUGUGGAAGACCCUAGGCAACUUACACUAGUGUAUUGAGAUACAUCUGUACAAGAAAUUUGAUUUCUGUAAGUGAACCUUCCAUCCAGAAUUUCCAUAUGCUAAUGUGUCUUGGUUUUUCACUACAAUAAAC
rnacentral:lncRNA from 1 species